GUCAGGAACCUCAGCCUAAAGCCAUGAGGCUUGAAAGAGCAAUCUGACAAGCCAUUCUGACCAGCCUAAGUCUUAACUGACUACGUUUUUUGAGUCACGACACCCUGGAAUGCGAAGCUAGUUCCUUGCUCUGUCGCUGAAGGUUAAACAGUUCUAAGGUCACUGGGACAGUGCUUUCAGCCUAACAAGCUCUUGAAACAUUGGCGAAGCUAACUUUACUCGAAAGAG
rnacentral:ncRNA from 2 species